ensembl:lncRNA WAC-AS1 WAC antisense RNA 1 (head to head)
UCCCACCCUCGGCCUUCCUCCCCGCACCGCGCGGGUCCGGAACACCGCCCUCGGCAAACCUCGGCUGGCUCCGGCCUUUCUCCUCCUCUGAGGCCUGGAUCUUCUCUUCGCGACCAGUCUGCCCUUUCCUUCUUUUCCUCACUCGCGAGUCGGCCACCGCCGUUCCCGUUUAGGGAUAGUCUCGCUCGGGCGCCUGCUCGAGGCUGAUCUCAGGGGCUCCGGGCUGCGCAGGGAGGGAGCCGCCUUCCGGAAGAGGACGGUGGGGCGCGAGGGAAGCCAUCGCGGACUAAAUAAGGGAGGCUGCAGCGGCUGCGCGUGCGCCCAGAGGCGCAGCGGGAGGGGGUGCUCUCGGGCGAGCUCUCCGGCCGCGGCCCCCGCCCCUGCGCUGUCGGGCGGGGAGGUCGGAAACCCCCUGGCGAGACCACGGGCGGACGCUUCCCGAAGAGCUGCCUGGGCUGCAGCCGCGGAAGCUGCGUUCUGGGGAGCGGGGAGCGUGCUCCGGCGCCUUCGGGCCGCUGCUGGAAGCCGGAACCGAGCCCGGGCCGCUGCCCCUCACCGGACGCCGCGCGCCACCGGCCCUCCGCGGGGCAGGGGCUGCUGCGAGCUCGCCGGGCGCCCUUUAGACAGUCGUCCUUGUCUACUCCACUACCAAAUGUUGAAGUUCUUCAAGAAUCAGUCCUUUGGAGGUGAUGUCAUUGAAAAUGAUGAGUAGGAAACUCCAAGAGCGCAUUUCUCCACAAAACCAGUGAAUACAUUGGCACAAAUUGCAUUUAAGGAAAUCUGUUUCUCUUUUGGAUCACUAGCUGCAAAUUAAGCUAACAGAACAGGAGCUCAGCUGGUCACACACAGCAACGAAUACAGACUUUAUAAAGUUCAGAAAAGUUACCAAACAGUGGUAACCAUAACAAGUACCAACAAUGAACUAUGGGGAGGGAGGAGAAUCUGAUUUCCAGAGUUACCACAUUAUAAUACUAUUCAAAAUGUCACAUUUUUAGCAAAGAUUACAUGACAAGGAAAAACCAGAAAAGUAUGGCCCAUACACAGGUAAAAAAAGAAAUUAAUAGAAACUACCCCUGAAGAAGCACAGACUUCGGAUGUACAAAACAAAGACUUUUCAUCAACUCUUUUAGAUAUGCUAGAAGAGCUAAAGGAAACCAUGGACAGAGAACAAAAAAAUUAGGAAAGCAAUGUCUCAUCCAAUACAGAAUAUCAAUAAAGAGAUUGAAAUUGUAGAAAAGAACCAAAUAGAAAUUCUGGAGUUGAAAAGUAUUAUAACUAAAACUGAAAAUUCACUAGAGGUAUUCAGCAGCAGACUGGAGAAGUCAGAAGAAAGAAUCAACAGGCUUCAAGAUAGGUCAAUUAAGAUUAUACAGUCUGAGGAGCAGAAAGGAAAAAGAAUGAAGAAAAAUGAACAGAGCAUAAAAGACCUCUGGGACUCUAUCAAGCAUACCAGUAUAUGCAUGAGGGGAGUCCCAGAAGGAGAAGAAAGAGAGAAAGGGACAUAAUAUUUGAAGAAAUAAUGGUAGAAAAUGUCCCAGCUUUGAUGAAAUACAUGAAUCUAGAUAUUCAAGAGGCUCAAAGAACCCUAAAUAGGGUAAACUCAAAAAGACCCACACCGGAAUGCAAAAGUGAGCUGGGUGUGGUGGCACGUGCCUGUGGUCCCAGCUACUCGAGAGGCUAAGGCAGGAAAAUCGCUUGAACCCAGGAGGCAGAGAUUGCGGUGAGCCGGGAUUGCGCCAGUGCACUCCAGCUGGGCGACAGAGCGAGAUUCCAUCUCGAAAAAAAAAAAAAAAAAAAAAAAAAACUAUUGCUGCAGUCAUUCAGAUGGAAAUGGGGAAAGAAUAAUAUUAACUGAUUUCAAAAAGGACUUGAAGAUGUGAAUCAUCUAUUUUGCUGAAGAAAUCUUAACUCUUUGAAAUUACUUUUUGUUGCUGUUGUCAUACUCUUAGGUGCCAAACUGCGGUAAAUUUUUUAUCAGUGAAGUGGAAGCAUGUGUUUUGUUGUUUUGGGAAUUUUUAUCAAGUAUCUUCAGAGAAGAUUAUUUCCUGCUUUAUCUUCAAAAACUGGAAAGGAAGGGUCAAAGAAAAGACAGUAGCUGGCCGGUCAUGGUGGCUCAUGCCUGUAAUCCCAACACUUUGGGAGGCUGAGGUGGGCAGA